GGGGGUAUAGCUCUGGGUAGGGGCAUUUCGUUGCGUUCGAGAGGUCCUCGGUUCAAACCCGGGUGUCCCCU